GCAUCGAUAGCUCAGUGGCAGAGCGGUGGGGCGUUUACCCAUGCAGUCCGGGUUCGAUCCCCGGUCGAUGCA